UUAAACUAAAGAGUUUGAUCCUGGCUCAGAUUGAACGCUGGCGGCAUGCCUUACACAUGCAAGUCGAACGGCAGCACGGAGCUUGC
rnacentral:rRNA from 10 species